CACGGCCCUGAGCUCCUGCAGGCUGCCCUGGGGCCGGCACAGCCCGGCAGUCUGUCUGUCCUGCCCUGCCCUGCCCUGUCUGUCCUGUCCAGCUGAGCAGCGCCGGCAGCGCAGGAUGCGCGCCCGGACGGAGCCCCCGCAGCACCGGGGCAGCGCAGUGAGGGGCACUGGGCAGGAGUUCUAAGUGACAAUUUUGACUUGCAGUGGAGUUAUCUCUCGAUCAUCACCUUCUUUUCGAGUCCAUCCCUGUGUCAGACACCCAGCUUCAGAUUCCUGACAUGGAGGAAAUCAUGGUGGAAACAGUCCUGGCCCCAUGGGAGAUCCUGCUAGUCAUUUUUGCUGCAGUGCUGGUGAUGAGUGUGCUGAUGCUGCUGCCCCCAGCUGCGGUGGUGAUCUGGAGGAUGAGACAUGUGCCACAGAUCUCGCUGCAGGGCUCCGUGUGAGCCAGCCCUGCUCCAGCACUGCCCUGGCAGCAUGGCUCACACUGACAACACCUCUCAGGUCACUCUCGCUACCUGUGAGCCACCCCAGAGCACUGCCUCUGCCAGUCUGCUGCUGCUGAGUUCCUGUGAGAAGAGUUUAUUGUGUGAUUUUGGGGCCAUGAGCUGCAGUUCUCCACACUUUGCCUUCCAUGUUCUGGCUGGGUUGUAAUUACUGCUCUUGGCUCAGCUCCUGAACUGAGUUCUUCUCUUGUGUUACAAUGGACUGAAAGAGAAGUAAGGAUAAUGCAGCACUGUAUUCCCUUAAUUAAUAUCAGGAAUAAUUAAUAUCCCUCUCUAUAGUAACACUGUAAAUAUUACCAAAGCCUUUAGCUGACUGACACUUGUGCAGGUGGAUUUAUCCAAUGCAUAUAAGAUACUCUGGGGAGGCAGUGGUUUAGUCUGGUUGUAUUGCAAAACCUAAAAAAAAAUAAAAUUUUAGAGAAUGUUUCAAGAAGUAAGCCUCUCCUGCUUCUCUUGUUUGAUCUGGAAACUUAAUGGUUUAAAAUGGUAUUAAGUUCUUUCAUUCUAUAUGAAUUUUCCUCUUUCCUCAACCCCCUAGUGCCAGAACAAA